GACGAACGCUGGCGGCGUGCUUAACACAUGCAAGUCGAGCGGUAAGGCCCUUUCGGGGGUACGACGAGCGGCGAACGGGUGAGUAACACGUGGGUGACCUGCCCUCAGCUCUGGGAUAAGCCUGGGAAACCGGGUCUAAUACCGGAUAUGACUCCAUGACGCAUGUUGUGGGGUGGAAAGCCUUGUGCGGCUGAGGAUGGGCCCGCGGCCUAUCAGCUUGUUGGUGGGGUGAUGGCCUACCAAGGCGACGACGGGUAGCCGGCCUGAGAGGGCGACCGGCCACACUGGGACUGAGACACGGCCCAGACUCCUACGGGAGGCAGCAGUGGGGAAUCUUGCGCAAUGGGCGAAAGCCUGACGCAGCGACGCCGCGUGAGGGAUGACGGCCUCGGUUGUAA
rnacentral:rRNA from 1 species